AGUGAACGCUGGCGGUAGGCCUAACGCAUGCAAGUCGAACGGCAGCACAGUAAGAGCUUGCUCUUACGGGUGGCGAGUGGCGGACGGGUGAGGAAUACAUCGGAAUCUACUUUUUCGUGGGGGAUAACGUAGGGAAACUUACGCUAAUACCGCAUACGACCUACGGGUGAAAGCAGGGGAUCUUCGGACCUUGCGCGAUUGAAUGAGCCGAUGUCGGAUUAGCUAGUUGGCGGGGUAAAGGCCCACCAAGGCGACGAUCCGUAGCUGGUCUGAGAGGAUGAUCAGCCACACUGGAACUGAGACACGGUCCAGACUCCUACGGGAGGCAGCAGUGGGGAAUAUUGGACAAUGGGCGCAAGCCUGAUCCAGCCAUACCGCGUGGGUGAAGAAGGCCUUCGGGUUGUAAAGCCCUUUUGUUGGGAAAGAAAAGCGGCAGGUUAAUACCCCGCUGUUCUGACGGUACCCAAAGAAUAAGCACCGGCUAACUUCGUG
rnacentral:rRNA from 1 species